UCAAGCGACUAAGUGUAUGUGGUGGAUGCCUUGGCGAUCACAGGCGAUGAAGGACGUGACAGCCUGCGAAAAGCUGUGGGGAGCUGGCAAAUAAGCUUUGAUCCACAGAUGUCCGAAUGAGGGAACUCACCUGCUUUGCAGGUAUCCCAUCCUGAAUAUAUAGGGAUGGGAGGCGAACGAAGCGAACUGAAACAUCUAAGUAGCUUCAGGAAAAGAAAUCAACCGAGAUUCCGAAAGUAGCGGCGAGCGAAAUCGGAUCAGCCCAGCACUCGAUAGCAGCCAACUUACGGGAACGGUCUGGAAAGUCCGGCCAUAGAGGGUGAUAGCCCCUUACUGGAAAAGGCAGCUGCGGUACUAAGUGUGCGAUAAGUAGAGCGGGACACGUGACAUCCUGCUCGAAGAUGGGGGGACCAUCCUCCAAGGCUAAAUACUCGUGAUCGACCGAUAGCGUACCAGUACUGUGAAGGAAAGGUUAAAAGAACCCCGGGAGGGGAGUGAAAUAGAUCCUGAAACCGCAUACAUACAAACAGUAGGAGCCUCGUUAAGGGGUGACUGCGUACCUUUUGCAUAAUGGGUCAGCGACUUACGUUUAAUGGCGAGCUUAACCGUAUAGGGGAGGCGCAGCGAAAGCGAGUUCGAACAGAGCGUUCAGUCGUUAGGCGUAGACCCGAAACCAGAUGAUCUAUCCAUGGCCAGGUUGAAGGUGUGGUAACACACACUGGAGGACCGAACCGACUAGUGUUGCAAAAUUAGCGGAUGAGCUGUGGAUAGGGGUGAAAGGCUAAACAAAUCUGGAGAUAGCUGGUUCUCCCCGAAAACUAUUGAGGUAGUGCCUCGUGUAUGACUCCAGGGGGUAGAGCACUGUUAUGGCUAGGGGGACAUGGCGUCUUACCAAACCAUGGCAAACUCCGAAUACUUGGAAGUUUGAGCACGGGAGACAGAGCACCGGGUGCUAACGUCCGGACUCAAGAGGGAAACAACCCAGACCGCCGGCUAAGGUCCCUAAUAUUGACUAAGUGGAAAACGAAGUGGAAAGGCUAAGACAGUCAGGAAGUUGGCUUAGAAGCAGCCAUCCUUCAAAGAAAGCGUAAUAGCUCACUGAUCGAGUCUUUCUGCGCGGAAGAUGUAACGGGGCUAAGUCAAUAACCGAAGCCGCGGAUUCACACUUAUGUGUGAGUGGUAGGGGAGCGUUCUGUAAGCCUGCGAAGGUGACUCGUAAGGGUUGCUGGAGGUAUCAGAAGUGCGAAUGCUGACAUGAGUAACGUUAAAGCGGGUGAAAAGCCCGCUCGCCGUAAGCCCAAGGUUUCCUGCUCUACGUUCAUCGGAGCAGGGUGAGUCGGCCCCUAAGGUGAGGCUGAGAAGCGUAACUGAUGGGAACAAGGUUAAUAUUCCUUGACCACCGCUGAAUGCGAAGGGGGGACGGAGUAUUGAAGAUCAUCCGGGUGUUGGAUAUCCCGGUUUGCGAGCGUAGGAGGCUGACAGGCAAAUCCGUCAGCGGAUCUCCGAGGCAAAGCAUCGAGCUCUCUUUUGAGCGAAGUGAUUGGAUGUGCUUCCAGGAAAAGCCUCUAAGCUCCAGUUCAGCGGGACCGUACCGCAAACCGACACUGGUGGGCGAGCUGAAUAUGCUCAGGCGCUUGAGAGAACUCAGGAGAAGGAACUCGGCAAAUUGACACCGUAACUUCGGGAUAAGGUGUGCCUUUGUAGCGUGGAGGGAGAAACACCCCGAGCGCGAAGAGGUCUCAGAUAAUCGGUGGCUGCGACUGUUUAUUAAAAACACAGCACUCUGCAAAGACGAAAGUCGACGUAUAGGGUGUGAUGCCUGCCCGGUGCUGGAAGAUUAAUUGAUGGGGUGCAAGCUCCUGAUCGAAGUCCCAGUAAACGGCGGCCGUAACUAUAACGGUCCUAAGGUAGCGAAAUUCCUUGUC
rnacentral:rRNA from 1 species